UACAGAGGUCUCAAGCGUUGUUCGGAUUCAUUGGGCGUAAAGGGUGCGUAGGUGGCGCCAUAAGUCAGGUGUGAAAUCUCGGGGCUCAACCCCGAAACUGCAUUUGAUACUGUGGUGCUCGAGUACUGGAGAGGAGAUUGGAAUUUACGGUGUAGCAGUGAAAUGCGUAGAUGUCGUAAGGAAGACCAGUGGCGAAGGCGAAUCUCUGGACAGUUACUGACACUGAGGCACGAAGGCCAGGGGAGCAAACGGG
rnacentral:rRNA from 1 species